rnacentral:rRNA from 1 species
GACGAACGCUGGCGGCGUGCCUAAUACAUGCAAGUUGAGCGCUGAAGGUUGGUACUUGUACCAACUGGAUGAGCAGCGAACGGGUGAGUAACGCGUGGGGAAUCUGCCUUUGAGCGGGGGACAACAUUUGGAAACGAAUGCUAAUACCGCAUAAAAACUUUAAACACAAGUUUUAAGUUUGAAAGAUGCAAUUGCAUCACUCAAAGAUGAUCCCGCGUUGUAUUAGCUAGUUGGUGAGGUAAAGGCUCACCAAGGCGAUGAUACAUAGCCGACCUGAGAGGGUGAUCGGCCACAUUGGGACUGAGACACGGCCCAAACUCCUACGGGAGGCAGCAGUAGGGAAUCUUCGGCAAUGGACGAAAGACUGACCGAGAAACGCCGCGUGAGUGAAGAAGGUUUUCGGAUCGUAAAACUCUGUUGGUAGAGAAGAACGUUGGUGAGAGUGGAAAGCUCAUCAAGUGACGGUAACUACACAGAAAGGGACGGCUAACUACGUG